AAUAUAAUAACAUGUAUAAGUUUCGCAUGAAUUAAAAGGGAAUCCGGUGUAAUUCCGGAGCGAGGCCGUCACUGUGAAGGGGAGUUUUGCAGCAAUCCACUGGAGUAUUCCGGGAAGGGCUGUAAGGCGAUGAACCAAGUCAGGAGACCUGCUUAUACACAUAUUAAUGA
rnacentral:ncRNA from 2 species